GCCGGGGAGCCUGAAGUUAGAGGCAGAAAGAGACAGGUCAGGGAGACACAGUGACACUUUGUCCUCUUGACAGUUUGGGCUGCUCUGGACACCUAUCCCAGACGUCAGGCUCCAUGGUCCUUUCGCUUUCCCUCUGGGCCUGGCCCCACUGACUCCCCACCCUGCUUGUGGCCCACCCAGGGACGCUGUCCAAGGAAGGGACCAUCACCCAAGUGGGGCAGUGCAGGGCCGCAUGGAGUCUGCUGUGCAGCGUGGAUGGUUUGGUCACCGUUAACAAUGGUGCCAGAUGGGCCUGGCAGCUGGCAGGUGUCCCAGCCAGGAGCUGGCCCAGGAAGCCAUACUGCCAGGGAGUUCAGGCUCAUGCCCAUUCAUCUAACAGAUAGAUAGCCAGGACCUACUAUGCUCUGGGCUGGGCUCGGUGCUGGAGGUACAGAGAGAAGAAUGUGGGCACCACCCUGCCCUGCAGAGCUCGAUAUGGGGUGGGGGAAGAGGCGUAACUAAUCCAAGGAGGACGUGUGUGAGCACAUACGGCAUCACUUGUCUCCAGCGUGGUGCUGCUAGGAUGCUCACUUCACAGCUGGGAAAACUGAGGUUCAGAGAUGAUAAGCCCCUUGUCCGAUGUCUCAGCAUCAGUAAACGGCAGAGCCAAGGUUUGAACCCAGGUCUGCACACUGCAGAGCCCUUACCUGGUUUGAGUAGGCAGAAGAGGGCGUGGGAGAGCCUUCUAGCCAAGGGGCCAAGCUUGAGGGAAGCCCCAGGGGCUGUUCUGUCCCUUGUCCAGAGCCCGCUGUGUCUGCUGCUGUCCCCUGUCCCACCUACCCUCUUGGGGGCUGAAGGAAACAGACAAAAUUGCACCCACCUUGCAAAUAAGGCCCUGCAGCAUUUUUAAGGACUUGCUGAGGACCCCAGAGCUCAGUCUCCCUGAGUCCUGGUAAAACCAGAAGUGACAGUUUGCACAGCUGCACAGGUCCCCAGCUAAAGAGCUAAAAGGCAGGGUUCGGUUUGGGAGUGCACCUGAUAAGGGGUGCCCUGCCCUCGUAUUGUCACUCCCCUGGCCCCUCGCACAGGUUGGGGGCUGUGCCUGUCUGACCCUCCAGUGUUCCAUUGCAGCUUUAGCCUCACACAUUCCUCCCUCCUAAUAGAGGUUUAUUAGGACACCCCGUCAUAGAACUACCCCUGCUUCCUUGAACCUUCCCCAGAGGACCUGACACAAGCCCAAAUCCUCUAGGUCCUUUCUAACACCCUGUUCCUGAAACACCCCGCGGCUCUCUGUAUUGUGUGCUCUCUCGUUGCAACAGGACAGUCGAUCCGACUUUGCUCAACUACGGGCGUGGGUGUGUUCUUAGAGGUCUUUAGCUGGAGAUCACUGUAAAUUGGAGACCCAAAAAUGUCCCCCUGAACAAAGCGUUUGCCUUAACUAAAUGUAGCACUGCAGGGAGGGGAGCAGGACCUGGUCCCUAGCACAGCAGGAAACAGCCUUAGAGGGAACUGAGAGGGAAACAGCCCAAGGAAGCGGCUUCCAGAACUAUAGCCCUUGCCCCUAGGAGACCCGCUUGCUGGUGAGAGGAGGGAUGGAUGAUGGAGGCAGAGGCUGGAGGUGGGCUGGGGGCAGGAGGUGUCACGCCACUUUUCACUGGCUUUAAUCUUAACUUUGCAUGUUUUAAUGUGAAAUGUAAUUACAGAUCUAAAUUCUGCUGGUGAGCUCAUCAGGGCUGACUGAUCAAUUAGACUUAAAAGUGUUUGGGUCUCAAAGAUCUCUGACCCUGGUGUGUCGUCUCAAAGCCCUGAGAAAUCCCUGUCCUGCUGAUUUGCUCUCUUGGGGAGCUGUAGGGUUAGGAGAACCCUUAGGCAGCCUGAAGACCCAUACCUACCUCUGAGGCCCCCACCCUUUUGAAAUCUGCGAGGGAUUUGGCCCAGGAAUUCAGAAACGUCAAAUACACAUUAUUUAUUGCAUUACCUCCGUAGGAAGCCAUGGCAGAUAUCACUAAUGGAUUACCAAACUCCUUCCUGCUGCAUCGGAUCCAGCUUCAGGCUCCUUACCACAGCCCUUUAGGCAGCCACUACCAAUCAGUUGGAAUUGGCAUUUCUUGCCCAUCCCUGGGAUAAGCCCUGUCUCAGCAGAACAGAGUUGGACAAGGAAGCUGGAUUCUGAUCUAGGAAACCCGGGUUGAGUGCUGGUUUUUCCACUUGCUGCCUACGGCACAUAGGAUUCAUUACUCUACCCGAUGGGGCGCCAGUUUGUCCAGGUAAAGUUAGGGUGAUAAUCCAGAACAAAAAUCCACAUAAAAUAAUUAAAUGUGAAAGUCCACUGUCUACUCUCAAAUUCUGUACAAGUUAAAGAUGCAGCAGCCAACGAGGGACAAAGAAGAAUGCCAGCAUCCUCAACAUCCUGUGAAAAGCUGGUGUGAUUACCCGCCGGGGGCACUUUAGUGGGGCUGCGAUCAUUUUUCUUCCCUCAGCUGUUGUCCUAGAAUGGAAGCCAAGCGUCCACAUUCAGGCUGCACAGGGGCUGCACUCCAAACAGCCAGCUGUCUCCAAUAGAACGAACGCAGGGCACACUCACCAGCCUUCUAGUUUUUGGAGGGGCCCCGUGGCUUUGGCUGCUGGUGGGCGCCCUCCCCUUGGGCUGUUCUCUUGGCUCCAAACAUCCCAAGGGAGGUAGAUGAUUUUUUAUAGGCAGGGAAAGCAGUUGUCAAGUUUCUUUACACUUUUUCAAUCAUGUUUAUUAUACAAGUACGCCUCUGUCAAAUCUAACCCAAAUAUGUUGUAAAAAAAAAAUUAGGAAAUCCAAACAAAAAUGUAAGUAGAAACCACCCAGUAAUCCCACGAUUUAGAGAUAAGCAUUAUUAACAUAUAGAAUGAAUCCUUGCAUCUUUUUUCUAUGGUAUAUUUACACUCAUGUUUCUUUUACAGGAUUUGGAUCAUUCUAUACCUACCAUUUUAUAAUUUGGGUUUUUUUUCCCCACUUAAUAGAUUGUGAACACUUUUGCCUAGUAAUAAAUAUAUAGGCACCAUCAUUUUCAGUAGCUUUAUGAUAUUUCCUACAGUCCCUUAUUGUUAAAUAUUUCUUCUUUAAUAAUAAGCUCCCUAUUGUUGGACAUUUGUUUCCAGUUUUUCUCUGUAAUGAGCAGCAUGCACUGAAAAGAAAAAAAACAACCCUAUGACUCCACUGAUGAAUCUAUUUCCUUCCGAGAAAUUCUCAGACACGGAAUUGCUGGGUCAGAAGGACGCACAUUUCCAGGACUUGGAUAGGCAUUGCCAGAUUGCCCUCCUGAGAGGUCGUACCUAACUCCACCCACCACAGUGGAGUCAACGUUUCUCUCUCCCCGCUGACACCUGCAGGUGGAGAUCCACAGGCUUAGAACUGGCUCCAGCUGCCAGUCCUGCAGCCGGACCCCUGAGGGCUGCAGGAAUCAAGUUCCUCCCCUUCCAUGCCCCAUCCCAAAGCGCCUGAGAGAGCCCGUCUGCCAGCUCCUACGGAGUUAACAGAUGUACACACGUCUGAGGCAGUCAUGCGGCAAGAGACUUUGGGGCCAAUCCUUCCCGUUUUGACAGUGUGUAAUCGAGGUGAAGCCAUAAAUUUUAUAAACAAGAAUAAACGACCCUCAGCAACAUAUGUCUGCUCGACCCUUUCCAAGGUGAUCGUAAAUAAAGGCACCUGCUCACUGGGGAGGGACGUGGGCACUGCAGAUGGCCAAAGACAAGGGCCAAGGGUUUGUGCCUUGGGAGCAGCUGGUGCGGGGAGGACCCCCAGGUCCUGGGUCAGCUGGACGCCUUUCUGCCAUUUAUUCAAUCCCUUCCCCAGGCUGCCUUUGCCCUGGUGCACGCUGAGCGGGCCUGCUGCUCACCCUUCCUCAGAGAGGUAGCUUGUAGGGGGCUUCUCCCGGGUUUAGGUCCCCUCGUCUCCUCCUCUGCCCCAGUUAUUUGUCAAUCAUGUCCUCUGUCCCAAGAGGGCACCUUGUGGGAAUCCGAAGACCAGGUUCUGCUGCUGCCCGCAGGGAGUCCUCGGGCACUGAUCCCUUUUGGCUCUCGCUGUUCUGUGACCGGGUCACCCUCCCUUUCACUUCGGCCUGUUGCUCCUGGAGCCACAUCCCCCUGGGCUGGCCUGGCCCAGGACCCUCUGGAGGCCCCCAUCUCCCACCGGCUCGGGAAGUCUUAACAAACCAGAGGUGCUACUCCCGGUCCUGUGCGCUCCACCUGGGCCUGAGCUAUUUGAAAGUGCUUUGAAAAAGGAUAAAACCUGAUUCAAAAGUAGCUACAUUUUAUUUUUGUUGAGCUGCUGCCGUGUGCCAGGCCCAUGGACAUAUUUCCUGAACCCUUGGAAGUUGGUAUCAUUGUCCCCAAAAAUAAAAGCUGAAGAUUGAGGUUCAGAGUGGUUACAGAUGCCCUCACGGUGACUCAGCUAGGAAGUGACAGAGCUGGAACUUGAUUUCAAAUAAUAAUAAUCAAAACAAUAAUAGCUAACAUGAGACGGGGGAGCAUGCUAAGCCUUUUAAACAUUGCCUCGUUAAACUCUCCCAGUGGUCCUGUGGGGGGGAUAUGAUUUUCAUUCCCAUUUUACAGUUGAAGAAGCAAGUCCAAGGAAGACGGAACGACUUGCCCAGAGUCGUGAUGCUAGGAAGUAACAGAGCUGGUCUUGGACCCAAGUCUGCCUGAAGCUGACACCCAUGCCGAGCGUUUGACUGUUCUCGCACCACAAGCCUGGGGCUCCGCAGAGCCAGCAAUGAGGCCGCUGGAGCAGGCAGCCCUGUGCACGGACUCACUCCUGAAAUGUUUCACUACGGUGGGAGAGGAUGCACAGAGCCUUCAUCAGGAGUUUGUGAAUCUGUGGAGUGGGAGAGCACCGGGACACCCCCAAAGUUCCUGGGUGUCCCCCAACCUUCCAAAUCCCGGUGUCCCCAACCAGCUCAUCUCCUGCCUCUGCUUGCACCCAAGCAUUGUCUUCCACGAUGGACUCCAGAGAAGAAAAGUGACAGGUCAAGGCAAAUGAACACUGCACCCUGGCUGGGCUGCAAAGGGGGCCUCAGUCCUCUCCCUAAGCAAGCUCCCACAUGGCUAUGUAAGGUACAGCAGAGGAGCGAAAGUUUCAAACUGACCCGUCCCCUGGGCGAGCCCUUCCCCAGCAGGCCGCCUCAGUUCUUCCCAGGCCGAGUGCCCACCAUGCACCAGACCUGGCGCCAACUGCUGGCCGGGGCCACUUCCUGGAGGGUUUUCACUUUCACUCACGGUCACCUGCACCUCAGCCACUUUGCCCAAGUCCAGGAACAAAAAGGACCCAGAAGGGACGAGAUAAUGAUGUUCCUCCAACAAAAUGAGCAGGAUGUCCGUCCCUUGAUGGAGGAAGGCUCCCCUUUAGAGAAGAUUCUCCGGGCUGCACCCUCGCCACACAUGUACUUCAGUCCAAGUGUUUCCGAGGCCUCGCCUGUCAGUCUGCAGCCGUCCUUCCCCCUUGAUGAGUGGCUCAGAGGUGACUAAACUCCAAAUCCUGUCUGCCUUACUCUUUAUAAAUGUGACAUUUUAAAGCCCCUUUGGCACAGGUAAAUCACAAUUACAUUUCCAAGGGCCUCUGGUACCAUUCCAAAUGAGCUGCCAGUGGAGGGCAUCUGUCUCUUUCUCUCUCUCUCUCUCUCUCUCUCACACACACACACCCACACA